GUAAAUACUUCAAGGCAAGUGCACAUACUUAGGAAGCAGUCUGUGCUGGCCCGGGUGAAGAAUCAAGACAAUACAGGCAGCCAUGUAUCCAGAAACAGCUGAAUAUGUGGCUAAUUACAUCUUGAGGAGGCCUCGGCUGAGCCUUUAUGAGCCCCUCUACGUGCGACGUUACUGGAGGCCGGAGCUGACCAACUUCGCCACCCCACACCAGGGAAAGGGUGGAUACUGGUGGAGCUCUCAGAGGUACCAGGACGUGGGGUCUACAUGGAGGGACACACGUCGACGUCGUGUGGUGUUGCCUGGAAACACUGGCUUCUCCGAUGUGCCUUCAACUCUAAAUGCAGGCUACUGCCAUAUUCGCCCCACCCUGGUGUGGAGAUAUCGCUGGCAAAAACUCAGGGAGAGGGUGCCUCAAGUGCUGAAAAGAAGGGAGAACUUUCUUGUCCUCUGAGGUUUCUUGGUUCCUCGGUGUGAAUGUGGAGCCCUGACACUUGAUACGUACAUAUUAUAUGGGUGACAAAUCGCUCUUUGGAAAACAGAAACGACUGCUGUAAUUUGUGCUGGAGCUGGAGAGAAACAGCCAUGUUUUGGUCAAGGUAAUCUCACAGUGUCAGUGGUUCAGGAAUGAGCUCUGGAAUGUUAAUAAGGGGAAAAAAGGGCAACAUGACUUAAAUGCCACACAGAUGGCCUAUCAGUGAUGCAAUCUUACAAGGAAAUGAGUUGUAGCACUCUCAGCCACAGAGCUGUGUUGGAAACUGUUAACGAAGUGUAUUAACUGUACACAGG
rnacentral:lncRNA from 1 species